UUGUUUUAAGCAGGUGGAAUCGUAAAAUCGUAGGAUCCAGAUCGAGAUUUUGACAACCAUGCUCGCAAUUGAUUUGGGUUUUCUUAUCUAGGUUUUGUUUUGGGGAUGAAUUCGAACGCUUUUGUACUAUUUCAUGUGUUAUUUUGAUUGAUUUUUGUUCUUGUUUUUCAAUGCGUGGGGAUACAUCUAACUUUUAUACAGACAAAACUCUAACUUGUUCUUUGUUAUUUAUAUGGGUAUUAAUUUACGAUUUACUUUUAACCUUUUGUGGAUUGGUUGGAUUGUUUGAGAAUGGAAUUAGAGGCUGCAAACAUCUUUAUGUUCGUUAUUUUAUGGAAAACUAGGAUUUUAAAUUCGUUCUAUAAUAAUUUUGACAAUUAAUUUUUUGUCUUUCACCUUUGUGGGUGUGCUAAACCCUAACAUGUUUCUUUGGGACUUUGCUUAAGAUAUUGUGAGUGACUAUGGAACUUUAAAUUGUGUUCAAGUCUACCACUUAAGGGUAAGAACAGAAGAAGAUGGAGGCAGCAAGAACCGUAAAAGACGUUUCCCUCACGAUUUCGUCAAGUCCUACGCCGCUCACCUCAAAUGUUCUGGCUCUCUCUCUCUCUCUCUCUCUGUAUUAUCGGUUUGUAUGGCUCGUCUCUAUCUAAUUUCACAUUCUUUUCUUUUGUGCAUUGCAGUCUUAUAUUGCCGCUUGUCCCUACUUAUUAUUUUCUGGUAAUUCUCCAAAUUCUUUUCCAUCCACUUGUAACCCCUUUAGUUUAAAGUUACGAUUUUGUGUCACCAUUGGAUAUACACUUUUUUUAUAUUACAAUGCUGAAUUGUUUUGCUAAAAAAAAAUGAUCUGCUAGCAAGUGUAUAGUGGGUUGUAUUUGAAAUUGUGAUUUGCAAAUGGGUUCAUUUGAUUUUGAUUGGCCCUUGAUUUGAUUUUUAAACAAGAAAGACUUGUUUUUUGGAUAACUGUAAUAGUUCUUACUUACGUUGUUUGGUUGUUUGAUUGUAUAGUUUUGUUAAUUAACUGCUCAAACAUGUCGAUAGUCAAUAAUUGUAAUUGUUCUUACUUACACUGUUGGAAUAUAUAGUUUCGUUAUUUAAUUAGUCUGACAUGUCUAUAGGGGAAUUUCAUAGUGAGUUGUGUUGCAGAUGAGUUAGUUUGAUAUUAUUUUUCAUGUGGAAUUUUUAAAUUCUUCUAUUAUUCUAUUUGGCCCUGAGAACAUGUUGGAAAACCAACAUCAGAAGAGAAAUAAUUGGAAUAGGUGAUAUCUUUAAACGCUUUUUUGUUGGGUACAAAUGUGCAAGUAAGCUUUGUUGCUUUUGAUACAAGAGUAGUCCACGGAGACACAUCCACCUUCACCUUCUCCAGUUCCAAUGCUAUUGCCUCCAACUAUCAGGUCUCUGGACGUUGUGAAAAAUAAAAGUUGCACUUCAUCUUUAAGCUGCAAAAUAAACCAUAGCCAUCAGACAAGCUUACCAAGACUAGUGAAAGUACAAAAGGUGGAUCUCAGCAGUAUGGUGGCUAACCUGGAGGGCUUUUACAUGAUUCCAAAGGGGUGGCAAGUCGGUGAAUAAUUUCUUCACAGAAAGCUUAGGAGACUUUACAUGCUUGAAAAAGAUUGCCUAAAAUGUUGCUGUGCAAGGAGUUGCUGCUGCUGAUGCUGAGGUAGUUGCAUCAGUUUCUGCCUUUGUUGCUGCUGCUGCAGCUGCUGAGGGGUAUGUUGCUGAGGAGAUGGUGUUCAUCAUGUUUGUACCUGACCUAGAAGAAUUGGCACAUUGUAGUGGAGAUGUUGUUGUGUUAUCAAAGGAAGUAGCAGUUGUGGCACUAGGAGAUGCAGCUGAUCUUCCAAUAAGUUGUGGUGCAGAAGCCUGCUUAAAAAGUUUUUGGCAAAAGGAAAAAACACACACCUUAAGAAAAGAAGACCCUAACACUCAUCCUACAGAUGCAGAAUAUCAAGCUGCAACAGGCUGACACAAACCCCAAACCCCAAACCUUUAUCUACAACUUGUUAACACAAACAUAGCAAGAUAAGGAUAAAAGCAUAACAUGCCCCACUUAUGCGCACUAGCAUGUGUAGGAUAUCAGUAAUUGUACUUAAAUAAUCAACAAAAAUAAUCAAAAUUAGAGGACAACCAUACGAAUGAUGUUUAGACUUUAAUUCACAAUUUGAGGAAAAAAUGAA